UACGUAGGGGGCAAGCGUUGUCCGGAUUUAUUGGGCGUAAAGAGCUCGUAGGCGGCCAACUAAGUCGGAUGUGAAAUCCCCAGGCUUAAUCUGGGAACUGCAUCCGAUACUGGAUGGCUUGAAUCCGGGAGAGGGAUGCAGAAUUCCAGGUGUAGCGGUGAAAUGCGUAGAUAUCUGGAGGAAUACCGGUGGCGAAGGCGGGUCUCUGGGCAGUAACUGACGCUGAGGAGCGAAAGCGUGGGGAGCGAACAGG
rnacentral:rRNA from 1 species